AACGAGCGCUGGCGGCAUGCCUAACACAUGCAAGUCGAACGAGAUCUUCGGGUCUAGUGGCGCACGGGUGCGUAACGCGUGGGAAUCUGCCCUUUGGUUCGGAAUAACAGUUGGAAACGACUGCUAAUACCGGAUGAUGACGAAAGUCCAAAGAUUUAUCGCCAGAGGAUGAGCCCGCGUAGGAUUAGCGAGUUGGUGCGGUAAAGGCGCACCAAGGCGACGAUCCUUAGCUGGUCUGAGAGGAUGAACAGACACACGGGAACUGAGACACGGCCCAGACUCCUACGUGAGGCAGCAGUGGGGGAUAUUGGACAAUGGGCGAAAGCCUGGUCCAGCAAUGCCGCGUGAGUGAUGAAGGCCUUAGGGUUGUAAAGCUCUUUUACCCGGGAUGAUAAUGACAGUACCGGGAGAAUAAGCUCCGGCUAACUCCGUGCCAGCCGCCGCAGUAA
rnacentral:rRNA from 1 species